rnacentral:misc_RNA from 1 species
GAUGAAGAACGUAGCGAAAUGCGAUACGUAGUGUGAAUUGCAGAAUUCAGUGAAUCAUCGAAUCUUUGAACGCACAUUGCACCUCUCGGUAUUCCGGGAGGUAUGCCUGUUCGAGCGUCAUUUACCCCCUCAAGCUCCGCUUGGUGUUGGGCGUCUGUCCCGCUUCGCGCGCGGACUCGCCCCAAAGGUAUUGGCAGCGGUCGUGCCAGCUUCUCGCGCAGCACAUUGCGCUUCUCGAGGCACCGGUGGGCCCGCGUCCAUCAAGCUCACCCCCCCAGUUUGACCUCGGAUCAGGUAGGGAUACCCGCUGAACUUAAGCAUAUCAAUAAGCGGAGGA